rnacentral:rRNA from 1 species
CAUGCGAGCCUCCACAAUCCGGUGAGAUUGCCCAUUAACCCCUAAACAGAUAAAAGGAGCGGGCAUCAGGAUACCAGAGACACUCUAGCCUAAAACGCCUUGCUACGCCACACCCACACGGGUUUUCAGCAGUGAGUAACAUUAAGACAUGAGCGAAAGCUCGACUUAGUCAUGAUAAACAUGGCCGGUAAAUUUCGUGCCAGCCACCGCGGUUAUACGAAAGGCCAGAAACAACGGCCCCCCGGCGUAAAGCGUGGCCAAAGUAUAUCAAAAAUUUAAAGAACUAUCACCUCAAAGCCGUAAAACACCUUGACCGUGAGACCCCCAACAACAAAAUGACUUUAAACAAAAGACUGCUUACCCCCACGAAAGCUAAGAAACAAACUAGGAUUAGAUACCCUACUAUGCUUAGCCCUUAACAUAGACAGCAAACACACAAUGCUGUCCGCCAGAGAACUACAAGUGAAAAACUAGAAACUCCAAGGACUUGGCGGUGCUCCACACCGACCUAGAGGAGCCUGUCCUAUAAUCGAUAAUCCACGUUUUACCUCACCACUUCUUGCAACUCAGCCUAUAUACCGCCGUCGCCAGCUUACCUUAUGAAAGAACUAAAGUAGGCAAAAUAGUUAACAGCUAAAACGUCAGGUCAAGGUGUAGCACAUGAAGUGGAAGAGAUGGGCUACACUUUCUACCACAGAACAAACGGACAGUACAAUGAAACCCGUACUUAAAGGCGGAUUUAGAAGUAAGAUAGAUAAGAGCCUCUACCUGAAACCCGCUCCGGAGCGCGCACACACCGCCCGUCACCCUC